AACGCGAAGAACCUUACCCAGGCUUGACAUGCAGGUGGUACUGAGUCGAAAGGCAAGGGACCCGCAAGGGAGCCUGCAAUGGUGUUGCACGGCUGUCGUCAGCUCGUGUCGUGAGAUGUUGGGUUAAGUCCCGCAACGAGCGCAACCCUUAAUCUUAGUUGCCAGCAUUAAGUUGGGCACUCUAAGGUGACUGCCGGUGACAAACCGGAGGAAGGUGGGGAUGACGUCAAAUCAUCAUGGCCCUUACGCCUGGGGCUGCACACGUGCUACAAUGGUCGGUACAAUGGGCGGCUACUCCGCGAGGAGAUGCGAAUCCCCAAAACCGAUCUCAGUUCGGAUUGGAGUCUGCAACCCGACUCCAUGAAGCCGGAAUCGCUAGUAAUCGCGUAUCAGCAACGACGCGGUGAAUACGUUCCCGGGCCUUGUACACACCG
rnacentral:rRNA from 1 species